rnacentral:rRNA from 1 species
AUGCUCGACGGAUCAGCCAAAGACACUCAUCCCCCAUUCCCCACUCCUACUCCCCAGCCCGAACUCCGCCGCCGCCGCCAUCCAUCUCCGCCGCCGCAACCUACCUUUUCCAGCCGCCACCCUUUCCAAGCUAUGGAGAAGCCGGCGGAGGAGCCGAUGUCCAGGCUCACCCACGACCUAAUCGCGGAGAUCCUCUCUCGCGUGCCCUACAAAUCACUCUGCAUCUGCAAGUGCGUCUGCCCGACCUGGCGCGGCAUCAUCGCCGACCCCGCGCACCGGAAGAAGAUGGCGCAGACUCUGGCCGGCUUCUUCUACCACAUCAACAACGAAGCCACGGCCGAGCCCCGCGGCUUCGCCGGCGUCAAGUACGCGGAUAUGUCUGCUUUCCCUUGGUCCAGCGUCCCCGAGACCCACCCGCGCCUGCCACUACCGCCCGACAGCACGGACCGCUUCUUCUCCCUCGAGGGUUCCUGCGAUGGGCUGUUUCUUGCAAGCAUGCGCACGGGCACCCCUGCUGCAAAUUUUUGGUACAUGGUCUCCAAUCCAACUACCAGUGAGUAUAUCGUGCUGCCCCACUCUGGCCAAGACGCCGGCAACAUCAGCAACGCUUACCUGGGUUUCGACAGUGCCGUAUCCACUCAAGAGUUUCAUGUGUUCGAGUUUGUACAGGAUUUGUCACCCCCGGACCACCGGGGCUUACAAUCCGUGGUUGUGACCGGAGUGAGGAUUUACUCUUCAAAAACUGGUGCAUGGGUAGCAAUGGAACCCAAAUGGGACAUCCAAGUUGGCUUGUGCUUUGGUCAACCUGGAGUUUUCCAUAAGGGAUGUUUGCACUUGCUCACAGGUGAGAACGGUUUGGGGGUAGUUGAUGCAGAAGGGCUAAGAUGGAGAACUGUCCCGCUGCCAAUACCCGUUGCUAGGAGUUUCGCAGGUCUCAUCGGGAAGUCUGCUGGACAGCUACUUUAUAUCGCCUCCCUUGAUAGUCAAGGAUAUGGCUCAGACAGAUCUUUGACUAUAUCGGUUUACGUUCUUAGUGUUGAGAUUUAUAACUGGGAUGUCUGUCAUCAGGAUGACAAACGCAUGUACUGGAAAUUGUACAAGUUUUCAGAUGUAAUUCCAGAGAAGAAGUUUCCCAAACUCAUUGGAGUACACCCACAUGCCAAUCUGAUCUUCAUAGCUCAUUCAGAAAACGAACUGUUGGCAUAUGAUUUGGAUCGUCAUGAAAGCCCAGUUGUAUAUCACCUUGACCAUAAGUACCAGAUAUUUAUGCAAUUUUGCCCAUAUGUGCCGCUGUUGUCCUGUUUACCAUUGGACGGAGCAAUACGGCUGGCAGCUCCCAAUUGA